AACUGAUACUACCUGCGGGAACCUGCGGAAGGAUCAUUACCGAGUGCGGGCCCUCUGGGUCCAACCUCCCAUCCGUGUCUCUUGUACCCUGUUGCUUCGGCGGGCCCGCCUUCAUGGCCGCCGGGGGGCUUCUGCCCCCGGGCCCGCGCCCGCCGGAGACUCCAACAUUGAACACUGUCUGAAGGUUGCAGUCUGAGUUUUCAUAUAAGAAAAAUCGUUAAAACUUUCAGCAAUGGAUCU
rnacentral:misc_RNA from 1 species